rnacentral:tRNA from 1 species
GCUUGUCUAGCUCAGUCGGUAAAAUACAAGGCUCUUAACCUUGUUGUCAUGGGUUCAAACCCCAUGGUGGGCG